rnacentral:sRNA from 1 species
UAUUAUUACAUAAAACAAAUAAACUAAUUUUUAUUGAAUAUGUUUAAAGAGAAAUAUCAUAACUCUGAAGGAUCAAAACUUCCAAGAUAAAACAUCUAUAUAUACAAUUUUUGCAGCCAUUUUGUAAAAUAAAUCCUGGAGUUGGAACUUAUUUACAAUGGCUGUCACUGGCUUUUAUUUAUUUAUUUUCUUUUGGCAAUAAAUUGAUUAACAAAGAAAAAAUAUUUCAAAUAUAUUCCAAUCCCAUAUAUCACGCAGAUUUCUCCAAAAUUUGAAUUAGAUUUCGGAAAUUAUUUAAAACAAAAAAUAUUUGACAAACCAAAAUACAAUUGCAAUCCCUUAAAAUGAGCAAAACGCACAUAAAUACAUUUCUUAUCAGUUCACUAAAUCUUAUUUCUCCAAUAUUUGAAUUAAAUUUCGACAACUAUUUAAAACAAAAAUUUGUUUGACGAACUAAAAUAUAAUUGCAAUCCCGUAAUUUUUUUUUUUAAAUUAGCGGUGUACUACAAAAAAUUUUAACGGGACGGGUUUGGCAGAACGGGUUUGGAAGGAUGUUACUUAAUAACAAUUGUAAACUAUAAAAUAUAAAUAUUUUAUAGAUAAAUAUAAUUUACAGACUUUUAUAUAUACUAAUUUUAAAAAAUAAUUGUCUCCGCGGUGUACUGCGGGUUAUAAUCUAGUGUUUCGUAUUGUUGGACUAUACAAAAAUGAAGCUCUAACAUAUUUCGUAGAACAAUUUUGGUAAACAAAAUUUAUAAUUUAACAUGGCUGAGUGCAAUUAAACAGAUCCAUAUAUAACAACAAUUUUUUUUAUAAAUAAA